GUAUUAGAGCUUGCUUUAAUACUUAGUGGCGGACGGGUGAGUAACGCGUGGGUAACCUGCCCUUAAGUGGGGGAUGACAGUUGGAAACGACUGCUAAUACCGCAUAAAGUUAGAGGUUCGCAUGGACCUGUAACCAAAGGAGUAAUCCGCUUUUGGAUGGACCCGCGUCUGAUUAGCUAGUUGGUGAGGUAACGGCUCACCAAGGCGACGAUCAGUAGCCGGCCUGAGAGGGUGAACGGCCACACUGGGACUGUGACACGGCCCAGACUCCUACGGGAGGCAGCAGUGGGGAAUCUUCCGCAAUGGACGAAAGUCUGACGGAGCAACGCCGCGUGAGGGAUGAAGGCCUUCGGGUUGUAAACCUCUGUCUUCAGGGAAGAAAGAAAUGACGGUACCUGAGGAGGAAGCCCCGGCUAACUACGUGCCAGCAGCCGCGGUAAUACGUAGGGGGCGAGCGUUAUCCGGAAUUAUUGGGCGUAAAGGGCGCAUAGGCGGAUAUUUAAGUCAGGUGUGAAAAACCCAGGGCUCAACCCUGGAAACUGCAUCUGAAACUG
rnacentral:rRNA from 1 species